AUACUUACCUGGACGGGGUCAAUGGGCGAUCAGGAUGACCCAUGGCCUAGGGUGGUGGCCUCCAUUGCACUUGGGAGGUGCACCACGCUAAGGUCUCCUCAAGUAGGAGAGCCUACGUCAUAAUUUGUGGUAGCGGGGGCCUGCGUUCGCGCGGCCCCUAC